GUGGGGAAUAUUGCGCAAUGGGCGAAAGCCUGACGCAGCGACGCCGCGUGAGGGAUGAAGGCCUUCGGGUCGUAAACCUCUGUCAGGAGGGAAGAAAUGCCGGCGGGCUAAUAUCCCGCCGGUUUGACGGUACCUCCGGAGGAAGCACCGGCUAACUCCGUGCCAGCAGCCGCGGUAAUACGGAGGGUGCGAGCGUUAAUCGGAAUCACUGGGCGUAAAGCGCACGUAGGCGGUUUGGUGUGUCAGGUGUGAAAGCCCUCGGCUCAACCGGGGAAUUGCACUUGAAACUACCAGACUUGAGUGUCGGAGAGGGUGGCGGAAUUCCAGGUGUAGGAGUGAAAUCCGUAGAUAUCUGGAGGAACACCGGUGGCGAAGGCGGCCGCCUGGACGACAACUGACGCUGAGGUGCGAAAGCGUGGGGAGCAAACAGGAUUAGAUACCCGUGUAGUCC
rnacentral:rRNA from 1 species